GACGAACGCUGGCGGCGUGCCUAAUACAUGCAAGUCGAACGCUUCUUUCCUCCCGAGUGCUUGCACUCAAUUGGAAAGAGGAGUGGCGGACGGGUGAGUAACACGUGGGUAACCUACCCAUCAGAGGGGGAUAACACUUGGAAACAGGUGCUAAUACCGCAUAACAGUUUAUGCCGCAUGGCAUAAGAGUGAAAGGCGCUUUCGGGUGUCGCUGAUGGAUGGACCCGCGGUGCAUUAGCUAGUUGGUGAGGUAACGGCUCACCAAGGCCACGAUGCAUAGCCGACCUGAGAGGGUGAUCGGCCACACUGGGACUGAGACACGGCCCAGACUCCUACGGGAGGCAGCAGUAGGGAAUCUUCGGCAAUGGACGAAAGUCUGACCGAGCAACGCCGCGUGAGUGAAGAAGGUUUUCGGAACGUAAAACUCUGUUGUUAGAGAAGAACAAGGACGUUAGUAACUGAACGUCCCCUGACGGUAUCUAACCAGAAAGCCACGGCUAACUACGUG
rnacentral:rRNA from 1 species